rnacentral:misc_RNA from 1 species
AAGUCGUAACAAGGUUUCCGUAGGUGAACCUGCGGAAGGAUCAUUAUCUAUUUGUUGGAUGUGGUCGCGGCCCCCGUAUUCCGGGUGGUAGGGGUAACACCCUCACGCGCCACAUGCACUAAUCCUCUUUUUACGAGCACCUUCUGUUCUCCUUCGGCGGGGCAACCUGCCGUUGGAACCAACAAAACCUUUUGAAUUCAGUAUUACCUGUUCUGAUACAAACAAUCGUAACAACUUUCAACAAUGGAUCUCUUGGCUCUG